rnacentral:rRNA from 1 species
CCAUGAGUAAAGUGGCGCACGGGUGAGUAACACGUGACUAACCUACCCUUGAGUGGGGAAUAACUGAGGGAAACCUUAGCUAAUACCGCAUAAUACCUACGGGUCAAAGGAGCAAUUCGCUUAAGGAGGGGGUCGCGGCAGAUUAGUUAGUUGGCGGGGUAAUGGCCCACCAAGACAGUGAUCUGUAUCCGGCCUGAGAGGGCGCACGGACACACUGGAACUGAAACACGGUCCAG